rnacentral:rRNA from 1 species
UGCCAGCAGCCGCGGUAAUACAGAGGGUGCAAGCGUUAAUCGGAAUUACUGGGCGUAAAGCGCACGUAGGUGGAUAAACAGGUUGGAUGUGAAAGCCCUGGGCUUAACCUGGGAAUGUCAUUCAAAACCAUUUAUCUAGAGUACAGUAGAGGAAAGUGGAAUUUCCGGUGUAGCGGUGAAAUGCGUAGAUAUCGGAAGGACCACCAGUGGCGAAGGCGGCUUUCUGGACUGAUACUGACACUGAGGUGCGAAAGCGUGGGGAGCAAACAGGAUUAGAUA